AUGCACAGGUGUUGCACGGCCGUCGUCAGCUCGUGCCGUGAGGUGUUGGGUUAAGUCCCGCAACGAGCGCAACCCUGUCGCCAGUUGUAUUUUUCUGGCGAGACUGCCGAGAAAACCUCGGAGGAAGGAGGGGACGGAUGUCAGGUCAGCGUGGCCCUUACGCCUGGGGCUACACACACGCUACAAUGGGCAGUACAACGGGUCGCGAAGCCGCGAGGUGGAGCUAAUCCCAUCAAAGCUGUCCUCAGUUCGGAUUGCAGGCUGAAACCCGCCUGCAUGAAGCCGGAGUUGCUAGUAACCGCAGGUCAGCAUUACUGCGGUGAAUACGUUCCCGGGCCUU
rnacentral:rRNA from 1 species